AAAGAAUGCUCUCAAAUGAUUGGGGUUUUGGUUGGCCUUCCAAUUAUGGCUUUAAGAAGCUUGCAUUCCUUCAGAAACUGAGAAGAACAUAAAUAACAAAGUGAACACUGAUUUUGGAGGAAGAGAGGCAAAAAGCAAGAAAAGACCAUGGAUUAGAGAAGUAAAGAUUGAAAGGGCAAGGAGGAAAUGAAAGGCCUCCGCUCAAU
rnacentral:lncRNA from 1 species